rnacentral:tRNA from 1 species
GGGGGUGUAGCUCAGUUGGUAGAGCGCUGCGUUCGCAACGCAGAGGCCGACGGUUCGAGUCCGUUCACCUCCACAA